GCGAGGAAAUCGCAAAUGCCUGCAGGUUUCCUUGGCAAGCUUGCUCGAAACCUGCAGCCUGUUUGCGACUGUAUCGACCAGCGACGCGCUUGCAAAUCCUCGUAUUAUAUUAUAUUAUAUCAUACUACAUAUAUAUAUAUAUAUAUAUGUAUGUAUAUGUAUAAUAGUUCACACGUAUCGACCAGCGAUUAAUUGCGUAUGUAUUUGUGACCACUCACGGUUACAAGGCAAACCGAUCGAAUUAAGCACAGUAUCACAAAGCUAUCCCCCCGGGGGGAGGGGGGGGGGGAUUUUAUACUAAAUUACAGGUGUGUGUUUCAGGAUGUGUUAGUCAUUUACAGCGACAACAUGGUUGCGUUACACUUAUUUGGCUUGAGACGAGGGGGGAGGUAUCCGUUAUCCUAAGAUCACCGACUUUGGAACGACAAUCGCGUAGUUUUCCACUUCAAUUUAAUAGAAAAUGACUCCCAGUCUCCUAGUUCGUUUACAAUUGGUAAAAGUAUACAAAGCGUGGAAUUGCUCAUAGAGUCGUGGGUAUAA